rnacentral:rRNA from 1 species
GACGUAGGGGGCAAGCGUUGUCCGGAUUUAUUGGGCGUAAAGAGCGUGUAGGCGGUCAGGUAGGUCGGUUGUGAAAACUGGAGGCUCAACCUUCAGACGUCGGCCGAAACCAUCUGGCUAGAGUCCGGAAGAGGAGAGUGGAAUUCCUGGUGUAGCGGUGAAAUGCGCAGAUAUCAGGAAGAACACCCGUGGCUAAGGCGGCUCUCUAGUACGGUACUGACGCUGAGACGCGAAAGCGUGGGGAGCGAACAGG